rnacentral:rRNA from 1 species
ACGAAGGGGGCUAGCGUUGUUCGGAAUUACUGGGCGUAAAGCGCACGCAGGCGGUUUGUCUAGUCAGGAGUGAAAGCCCGGGGCUUAACCCCGGAAUAGCUCUUGAUACUGGCAGACUUGAAUCACGGAGAGGGUAGUGGAAUUCCGAGUGUAGAGGUGAAAUUCGUAGAUAUUCGGAAGAACACCAGUGGCGAAGGCGACUACCUGGCCGUUGAUUGACGCUCAUGUGCGAAAGCGUGGGGAGCAAACAGG